GCCAGGCACAGUGGCCCACGUCUGUAUUCCCAGCUACUCCAGAGGCUGAGGCAGAAGGCUCAUGUGAGCCCAGUUCUGGGCUGUAGUGCACUAUGCAGAUUGGGUGGCUGUGCUAAGUUCAGCAUCAACAUGGUGACUUCCUGGGAGCAAGGGACCACCAGCUUGCCUAAGGAGGGGUGAAUCAACCCAGGACAAAUUGAGCAGGUCAGAAUUCCUGCUGAUCAGUAGUUGGACAGUGCCUGUGUAUAGCCACUGCACUCAAGACUGGACUACAUAGCAAGACCACAUCUCUU
ensembl:misc_RNA Metazoa_SRP Metazoan signal recognition particle RNA